UUAAAUGGGAAUACCAGGUCUUUGGUGGCACAAGACCAGGUGCAAAUGAGACAGGGAAUAGCCAAGGAGGACAAUGCCACCAGCUGGAUAAUGUGGAACCUUCCAGGCUCUCAAAACUAGGGAUGCUUGUAGGCGCAGAGGGGCAGAAGGGAUGAGUAGUUAGUUCGGAGCCAGGCCCUGACAUCAGACUGCCAAGGUUCAAGCCCUGGCUUGGCCUGAGGGGACCAGACCGAUUACUGUAGCAGCCAAAACUGUGCAAAUGAACAGAUAAGACAUUUCAGAAGUCCUUCCCAGAAUCAAGAAAUUAUGUAAGUGGCAAUGUACAUAUCCUCCUUUGACGUUCCAACUCUGGCCAAACUAUGAAAUCCUUGUCUCCACAGCUUGGAACACAGGAACCCAAAAGUUAUUAAAAUUCAUUCAUUAA